UUAAGUUCAGCGGGUAGUCUCACCCGAUUUGAGGUCAAGGUUUGUUGUGGGUCAAGCCGACCACCUACGGAGAGGCGGCGACCGGAACACCAUCGUUGUCGAUGAGACAGUUAGGAGCAGGCGUCCAAGGAACAGAGCUAAACCCAAAACGUAGAAACAUUUUAUCACGUCAAGGAUCAGCAAAGCGGACCCCACUGAUU
rnacentral:misc_RNA from 1 species